AACGAACGCUGGCGGCGUGCCUAACACAUGCAAGUCGAGCGGGAAAGUCCCCUUCGGGGGGCGAGUAUAGCGGCGAAUGGGUGAGUAACACGUAGGUAACCUGCCCUGGAGCUCGGGAUAACCCAUCGAAAGACGGGCUAAUACCGGAUGAGACCACGAGGUCCUUGGACCUUGGGGGAAAAGGUGGCCUCUGCUUGCAAGCUACCACUUCAGGAUGGGCCUGCGAGCCAUUAGCUUGUUGGUGAGGUAAAGGCUCACCAAGGCAAAGAUGGCUAGCUGGUCUUAGAGGAUGGCCAGCCACACUGGGACUGAGACACGGCCCAGACUCCUACGGGUGGCUG
rnacentral:rRNA from 1 species